GAUGAACGCUGGCGGCGUGCCUAAUACAUGCAAGUCGAGCGAACAGACGAGGAGCUUGCUCCUCUGACGUUAGCGGCGGACGGGUGAGUAACACGUGGAUAACCUACCUAUAAGACUGGGAUAACUUCGGGAAACCGGAGCUAAUACCGGAUAAUAUAUUGAACCGCAGGGUUCAAUAGUGAAAACCGGUUUUGCUGUCACUUAUAGAUGGAUCCGCGCCGCAUUAGCUAGUUGGUAAGGUAACGGCUUACCAAGGCAACGAUGCGUAGCCGACCUGAGAGGGUGAUCGGCCACACUGGAACUGAGACACGGUCCAGACUCCUACGGGAGGCAGCAGUAGGGAAUCUUCCGCAAUGGGCGAAAGCCUGACGGAGCAACGCCGCGUGAGUGAUGAAGGUCUUCGGAUCGUAAAACUCUGUUAUUAGGGAAGAACAAAUGUGUAAGUAACUAUGCACGUCUUGACGGUACCUAAUCAGAAAGCCACGGCUAACUACGUG
rnacentral:rRNA from 1 species